rnacentral:rRNA from 1 species
UACGUAGGUGGCAAGCGUUGUUCGGAAUUAUUGGGCGUAAAGGGCGCGUAGGCGGUCGGUUAAGUCAGCUGUGAAAGCCCGGGGCUCAACCCCGGAGGGUCGGCUGAUACUGAUUGACUAGAGUACGGAAGAGGUAGCUGGAAUUCCCGGUGUAGCGGUGAAAUGCGUAGAUAUCAGGAGGAACACCAAUAGCGAAGGCAGCUCGCUGGGACGGUAUUGACGCUAAGGCGCGAAAGCGUGGGGAGCAAACAGG